rnacentral:rRNA from 1 species
GGGGAAUAUUGCACAAUGGGGGAAACCCUGAUGCAGCGACGCCGCGUGAGCGAAGAAGUAUUUCGGUAUGUAAAGCUCUAUCAGCAGGGAAGAAGAAAUGACGGUACCUGACUAAGAAGCACCGGCUAAAUACGUGCCAGCAGCCGCGGUAAUACGUAUGGUGCAAGCGUUAUCCGGAUUUACUGGGUGUAAAGGGAGCGCAGGCGGAAGGCUAAGUCUGAUGUGAAAGCCCGGGGCUCAACCCCGGUACUGCAUUGGAAACUGGUCAUCUAGAGUGUCGGAGGGGUAAGUGGAAUUCCUAGUGUAGCGGUGAAAUGCGUAGAUAUUAGGAGGAACACCAGUGGCGAAGGCGGCUUACUGGACGAUAACUGACGCUGAGGCUCGAAAGCGUGGGGAGCAAAC